rnacentral:rRNA from 1 species
UACGUAGGGGGCUAGCGUUGUCCGGAAUUAUUGGGCGUAAAGAGCGUGUAGGCGGUCCGGUAAGUCGGCUGUGAAAGUCCAGGGCUCAACCCUGGGAUGCCGGUCGAUACUGCCGGACUAGAGUUCGGAAGAGGCGAGUGGAAUUCCCGGUGUAGCGGUGAAAUGCGCAGAUAUCGGGAGGAACACCUAUGGCGAAGGCAGCUCGCUGGGACGUUACUGACACUGAGGCGCGAAAGCUAGGGGAGCAAACAGG